AUUGAACGCUGGCGGUAGGCCUAACACAUGCAAGUCGAACGGCAGCACAGGAGAGCUUGCUCUCUGGGUGGCGAGUGGCGGACGGGUGAGGAAUACAUCGGAAUCCACCUUUUCGUGGGGGAUAACGUAGGGAAACUUACGCUAAUACCGCAUACGACCUACGGGUGAAAGUGGGGGACCGCAAGGCCUCACGCGAUUAGAUGAGCCGAUGUCCGAUUAGCUAGUUGGCGGGGUAAUGGCCCACCAAGGCGACGAUCGGUAGCUGGUCUGAGAGGAUGAUCAGCCACACUGGAACUGAGACACGGUCCAGACUCCUACGGGAGGCAGCAGUGGGGAAUAUUGGACAAUGGGCGCAAGCCUGAUCCAGCCAUACCGCGUGGGUGAAGAAGGCCUUCGGGUUGUAAAGCCCUUUUGUUGGGAAAGAAAUCCUGUCGAUUAAUACUCGGUGGGGAUGGCGGUACCCAAAGAAUAAGCACCGGCUAACUUCGUGCCAGCCGCCGCGGUAACAC
rnacentral:rRNA from 1 species